rnacentral:rRNA from 1 species
AUGGGGAGUCUGAUCAUUUGCUGGUCAAAAUCUGACAACAAUCGGAGGAGGAAUGCGCAACAAGCAAGUCUAUCAUCGAUGGCAAGUACUGAUGGACAUAUGAGGGAUCAUUGUUUCUUAUUGGAGAAGGCCUGGUGUUUAGUUGGUGUCUGUGUGGUACCUACACGGCUACACCAGCAUUUUCCAUCAACACCUCCAGAAAAAGAGAUAAUCUCCAGCCGCAUCCAGGACGACCGGGACUCGCUGCCACUAGCUGUUGGUGCACCUUCUGUUAGCUCCCAGCUGUUACCUAGUGUGCUUGAUGCUACUGCUACAAAGAAGGUUGAAGGAGAUCCCUUCACUUCAAUGGAUUCAACAAAAAUAAUCCCUGCUGCCACUGCAUAA